AAGAAAAAAAAAACUCCACCGCUUCGACCUCCUCCCCAUCGCCGCCAGCGCCAUCCUUGUCCUAGGGCCGCCGCCGUCCUCCCCCUUCCUGGCCACGUCUGGCGCCGCCUCCUCCUCCUUUUCUGUUUCCGCUCCAGCGCGGUGCUUGGCUGCGUCAAUACGCGCUAGGAUGGGUCCUCCUCAAGCCCAGGGCGAGGGUAGGGUUCAACACGGCAGGCAUGGCGAACGCAGCUGCCGCUACCGAUGAUCUCCGGCAGCCGUGAAGGCCGAGGCCGGGCACGCAGCUGUGCUCCGGAUCCAAGAACCGUGGCCCGAGCCGCCGGUGGUGAUCGCGCACGAGUUGCCCAGCACGAUCCGUGCCCACGUCCUGCAGGUGCCCCCGGGGUGUGACGUGCUGUCGUGCGUGGCGGCUUUCGCGCGGUGCAGGCGCCGCGGCGCGCUGGUUCGGGGCGUGACCGGGCGCGUCGCAGACGCCGUGAUCUGCAGGGAGCCCUUGCCGCUGGAGCUCCGAGCCAUGGCCGAGAUCCUGGGGACUGGCAGGGCUCUUCUUCCCGUCUUCUGGCUCGCUGGUGGGCGUGGCGGUCUUCCUGGCCAGGGUUGCGGGGCGCCGUGCUGGUCGGUGGCGUCCGGCCGCAGGGCCGGUUGUGGUCAUGCUGGCUACGUUUGUCGCGGGCCGCGUUCGAUCGGUUGUGUUGUUGAUGGGUUCCAUAACCGUCGGCCUCCUUUUCCUCUCUUAGCCCGUCCCCUACCUACGGACUCUCGCCGAUUUCUACCACCGCUGUUCAGCCUCCGUGCGACGCAGCAGUUCGUCGUCUCCACUUGCCCGGCCGGUCAGCCCCGUGGCGCUGCCAGGGACAAAUGGCCCAUGUUGUCCGGCCACCGCCUCCGCGUGUUUCCUAGGCGACCCGCCCGUGCUGUGUCGUGACCCAGCGUCCUGUUGGCCGGUGCGUCACCGUCGCACGUCCCAGCAGCACUCGACGCUGCUUCUUCUCUCUUGCGUUCUGUUGUUCCUCCACUUCGUCCCUCUCUCGCCUGUUCCCUGCGACGAAGACGACGGAAAGCGCCGCGGCUGAAGCCUUGCCAGUUAAGGAGUAAGAGUCGCGAACGGGCCAACGAGGUGGUCCAGGGAUGAUAUGGUCGAGGUGCUCGGCCUGAACAAGCUUCGAGGGGCCAACCAUGCCUUUGUCGACGCCAUGAUAUGGUUCCUCGCGCUCCUGCGUGCCAUUCCGGACAGCAGUCCUCGCCGAUGCCUACCUCUGCAUGCUGCAGGUCAGCUCCCUGAGCCUGCAACUACGACAUGGUGUGACACUAUCUCAAAACUUCAGAUUUGGUGCAGUUCCAAUGGAGCGUCCACUACCAAGGCCAAGGUGUUCAUUCAUUGGAAGAAAAGAUAAUAAGAACUUCAUAUUCAGGGGUUAUAUUUUGGCAACCUCUAGCAAGGAUUCCACUUGAGGCUUUGACAGAAGCACCAUGAUUGCAACAGACAACUCCAUCCCAUCUAACGUGGAUACCUCGAGGCCUUCCUCCAUCUGCAGGUGUUCCUUUCAAUCAGUCUGAUCCCUCGACCAUACAAGCUCUUGCUUAAAUGAGCCUCAGGUGCAAAUCAACUUUUGUGUAAAUUGAUGAUUUUCAGUAGUUCAUCUUGAGUUUAUUUGUUUUUUUGACAUGAAAAUAGGUUCAGUAAAUUUACUUCUGAUAAAAAUUGCAUGUUUGUGUUGGUUUCAACAGAGGUAGUGUUUUGCUGAAAGAGAUCUUUACUUCUUCAUUACAACCCACAAGGCAUCUGUGCAGUUCUUAAAAAUACUGAAUAUGAUAGGUGCACACUUAUUAUGCUUCGAAGCAUCCAACAAACAAAGAUACCGAUGCAACAGAGCAACCAACUGAAAUCACACCCGUGGCUGAUAUCUCCUUUACUUGUAAUUGUUUGUUCUUCUUUAGUAUGGAUUUAUUAUUGUUUUCUUUCCAUGAAGAUCUCAUUUUAUACUAUUUCAAAUUUGAUACUGUAUUUCGUAUGGAGGGCACAUCUAAAUUCAGUUGAUGGGUUUAUAAUAUUUUGCCAAAGCUAAGACCAGGUGAUCUUUCUUCUAUAAACUAUUUUUUCUUGAGAUCAUGAUCUGGCGUUUCUAUAUUUAUUCAGGUAUCUAUUUUGCUUAGUUUCCAGUUUUUUAAAUGUUGUCAAAUCAUUAGCUAAAAUAGCUGGCUGCUAGACUAAGAUUGCAUGCCAAUAGUGUUCAUCCAUAAUUUCACUUUUUUCUUACUUACUACAGUACUACAGAAUUCAUAGCACACAUGUACUUCCCUAUAAGCAGUUCGGCAAAGUAAUAGGGAUAUAUAUUAAUCUGCAUUUGCUUUGCCCUGCUCUCCCUGGAAACAGUCUUCUGUUUUUAGCAACCAAUCCGCAGGUUCACAACUUCACAUAUAGAUGGACAUGCAUUUCAGUAUUUGACCAUUGUCUUGCUCAAUUGUGGCAAUUGGCCAUUUUUUCCUUCUGAUUUAUCAAUUUGAGAUCUCUCAUCUUACAUCGAGAGAACAUACCCAAUUCUUCUGUCCUUUGAUUUUAUCUUUUGUUUUGUUUAUGCAUGAGAGAUCUCUGGAUUUUAUGUUUCCACCUACAAAAUGGUUGAAAAGAGUUGGAAUUCAUUAUUUGUCAACAUAUGAGAGUCACAAAUUCAAUUUUUGUCAGAUAUGUGCCAGACAAAUUCACGCCAUGUUUUUGGGCUAAAAGUUCAUAAACUGAAUAUUCAGAUUUGAUCUUCCUUUCUGUUAAAAAAAGAAAGAUUUGAUAUUCCUUCUGUCAUUCUAUCCUAAAGAUCUGAAAGAGCGGAGCGGGAAGCUUAAUAUUUUGUGGUAACCCAGGUGAUAUUGUUGAACUUCCCCGUUUAGAUGAGGCCUACAGUGCCAGUUUUCUAUUCUGGUCCAAGAAAUCCUAGCUCUCACUUACUAGGAUGAUACUUGGUAGUUGGUUGUGUAAAUGGUGAACUCCAGGCUUUAGCUCCUCUAAGAUGAAGCUUGCAGUGCCUGUAUUUUAUUGGUCUCCGAGAAAUCCUAGCUCUGCCUGAUGAGAUCGGUACUUGGUCCUAUAAAUGGAGAACUCCAGGUUUUAGCACCUAAGUUAUAUAGAGUUCCCAAUGGAAUAUCAUCCAUGUAAGUUCUCAUUUGUUAUGGACAUCAUGUAGUUAACUCAACGCAGUUUAUAUGUGGCUUUUGCUUAUGGAUAGGGUUAAUACAAGAGCCCUGCUGUAGCACAUAAUUUAUUUUUGGAAGAUUAUUUGGCUUUUGCUUAUGAGGGAUCCCUGCUGUACCACAUGUAUUGUGCAACGAACUCAAAUUUGAGACAAAAGAUCAUUUGUUCUUUCAAUAUUGGAGAUGCUGCAAAUAUCUUUCCUUUGGUUUCACAGCUACAGACUGUAUCUAGGCCUGGAGUAGCAACGCUGCGUAAACGGAUGGUAUUUGGAUAAACAAUUUAGAUGCUUUGUAAACUGCAACGGAGAAGAUAUUUUCUGUUUAUAAUUUUCACAGCACUUGGGACAUGACGAGAUGGAGGGUCAUAGUACUACAUGAGUUAUUAUGGACAAUUCUACAUUGCCGUACCAAGAGUGACAUCCAAGGAAAGAUUAAAUAUACUUGCACUAGAUGAAAAUGAUGCAUCAACUACCAAGCUUAGAAAUUUGGUGUACCAAAUAGUACUUGAUUUGUUCAUCAUUUGAAAUAGUGCUCACCUUUACCUAUUCAGGUUAUAACUUCAGGUAUGCUCACACAACUUCCUGCAAUUUAGAGGUCUAUACAGAUUUAUAUUCAGUUACUUCAAUCCUCCAUAUGCAAAUUUUGACACUUGGCUCUUUUUACAGCUCUUACUCUGCAUUCUUGCUCUCUCUUUCAUGAAACUCUUUUGAUGAAAUUAAACAUAUCUGUGACAUCUCAUCUAUUUUGCUUAUUGAGUUUAUGUUUUCCUUCUAUGUGAUACUUGUGUCCCUUAAACUUUGUAAAAUACAUGUUACUUCAUUGGUGUGGCAGACUAUGUUUUCCACUAUCUAUAAAUAAUGUGAGAACUUUAACAUGCCAAUGUUUUCACUUAUUUAGAGCACAGUUAAGGAUGCACAACUUCAGGGAGUUCAAUUCGAUUAGCUUUUUGAACUGUAUAAACACCAUUGCUUGGCAGCCAUCGUUUCAAUCCUCCCAUUCCCUGCUACUAAAUAGAUGCCACAAUCCAGUUAAGAUAACAUCGGCAUUUCAACAACACAUCACAGGCUUCCUCAGAAUAUUGUGUGCGGCAGUACCGCCGUUAAACCGUGGGGCGCAUGGGUGACAGAGUGAAGGGCCGAAUAUUCAUCGAGCACAAAUGGGCAUUAUCUGCUGAAGCGAACGGCGCAGGCAGCAUUUGCUGAAGCGAACGGCGUGGCUAAAGGUGACCCUCUAAUCUUCAUAUAUCUCUAGAUCCAUGUUGAAGGUAUCCUUCCUAAGCGGCAACGAAUGUGAGAAUAGGUCAGUCAUGUCUUAUGAGCUACUUCAUCAGAGCAAUAAAAUGACUUGAGUGUGUUAUUACCCACCGAUGCAGCGGAUAAAACAGAUAAGUUGCUUAUUAAAACAGAUAAGCCCAGGAAAAAACUGAUCUAUCCUUAUUUAUUUUGCGAGAGAACUGAAUAGUUGCUUACUGGUAAGUUGCUUUAAUUAUUUACCCUUUUCCAUUGGCCCUUCCUGUCUUGCUGCAUCCCAUUUCACUUCUUAGUUUUUGAAAAGGGGUGGCUAGAUGCCACAUAAGGAACAUUAAAUCGUAUACUUAUUUGGAUAGUAGAGAAACAAAUCAAAAAUUAUUUUGCUCCACUUUCCUUUUUCAGGAGCUUCACAGUUAUAAAAUGCCAACUAAGCUAAGAGGAAGCACUUUUACAAGCUAGAAAAGCAUGAAAAAUAAAGCUAUCCCAUGAAUGUUGAGAUGAAUACAAGAGUUGAUUUGAUAUAUUCAGACUGCAGUGCAUGGAAACUGAUCUCAAAACAUGGAUUUAUGAUCUGCAUUUUAUUUAGUACAACGAUGCAUUCUUAACUCUACUUUUGAAUGAUUUUAAAGUACGACUGCUACCAGGAUACUAUGAUAUCACCCUUCAUGAGGAAGACGUAUAUGUUCAAGAGCAUGACUGAAUAUAAUUAAGAGG